ACAAAUAAUAAUCAAAAUUAUAUUAGAUCGUCAACUAAUAAUUAUACGAAUUCUAAUAUUUUCUUUUUUAUUAUAAUUAAAGUUUCCUAUAAACACUUUGAUUUUAAUUUUAUCUGCGCAACUUGUGUCGAGAUUGAGGUCACGAAUUUAAAAAAAAAAAAAAAGAGAAAAACAAGGUAUGUAAAUGCUCGUAUUAAAAGAAUUCAUUACAUUAUUAAUAAUAAUAUUUUUAAUGAAAUAAGAUAGUAGAAAUACAAGUACAUUAUUCGAUGAAAAAAAUACGGGAAGAUCAUAAACAUUUCACAUAAAAGAAUAAAAAAAAGGGACAAAUGCAAUUAAUUUCCAAAUAUAUAAUAAAAUCUCAUUCACCCAACUUCCAUCGCAAGCCCUUUUUGUUAACUCGAUCAAUACUUAGCAUAUUUUUCAUUUUAUUUAUUUCCAAUAAAUGUAAACACGAAUAUUGGAAAUAUUUUCUCCGCUUUGUUAGGAACUUUACAAACGUCAUAAUUAUUAAUAUUACGAGUUAGCGAUCUUGUAAAAUUUUUUGUCAAGAAUUUCUACCUGCGUAAAAGAGAAAGAAAGAGAGAGACCUACAUUUCUUAAGUUAGAGACGACCAUAUUUAGUCUCACUAAGAACGAUGGAAUCUACCACUUUCCAUCUUUACUCUUUAUUUUCAGGAUGAUGAUAACGAUGACGAUGACGACGAUGAGAUGAUAAACGUCGUAGCGUAGGAGAAAAUUUGGAUGUGGAAAGGAUUAUUUUCUCCAAUGGAAUCUCUGAACGAUGGAAUUCGAAAACGACACACUAAGCCUGUCGGUGGUGACUGUACUCGGACACGAUUACCUUAAGAAAACGAAGAUAGGCGCGCUAGUAUUUGAGUUAAACACGUCUCUAGGAGAUGAACACGUGCAUACGUAGAUAUCUAUGUAUAUGUAUGUAAUAUACCUAUAUAUAGAUAAGUAUAUUUAUAUGUGUACGUACGUGUCCACGGCAUUCGAGGCAUCUCUCGUGAUGAUGAUGGUGAAUGUAGGUCCUCGGGUCGACAUCUAUCUAUGAUACCUACCUCUUCCUCCUCUACCUUAAGUCUUGUGUAUGUACCACCACUGCUGAGGAAUCACAGCUUGCUUCCACACAGAACGGUUUCUCUCCCCCACCUAACGAACGAACUUCAUUGAGUCUGAAACAACAGGUGUCUACGUAGUGCGUAACCGAGUUUUAUUUAAGUCAGAAAAUCAUUUCUAUUACCGCAGUA